rnacentral:lncRNA from 1 species
AAUCUUUUGACGUCAUGGGCUUCCGAAAGCCAAUCCUUGAGUAUGUCCUUUGCUCUACUGUCUCUUGAACCAUUAAUAGUUCUAACUCAUAUUGCUCCCCCACUUUGGUCCAACAAAGUGGUAUACUAUAAGGUCUACCAUAAAUAAUCCUCAUAUAAUAAAUUUUUUUUUUUAAUACUCAAAAGAUAGCUGUCGAUAUAGGCAAACUCUGGUAUAGGUAGAUGCUUUCUGAAAUUCCAUCCCACGCAAUCUCUGAACAUAUCCUUUAAGUUCUGAGUAGUCCUCUCUGACUGACAAUAUGUCAACGGGUGAUAAGAUGUAUUGUCCCAAGUGCCUUCCGAAAGGCUCUCUGAAAUGUAGAUGUGAACUUCGAUUCCCAAUCCGAUACAAUGUUGACAUCAAUGAAACUUCCCAAACUCAAUAAUGUAGGUCUGCUCCAAUUAAUUAGCUCUGAUUGUCUUCUUAAUUACUUAGGAAAUGGGCUGACUUGGUAAGUCUAUCCAUGACUACCCAUGUGGCAUCCUUUCCACAUAUGGUGAUUUAUAAUCCAAUAACAAUGUCCAUAAUCACCAUGCCUCAUUUCUACUCCGGCAAAAGCAAGCUCAAAAAUAACAUAAUAGAUAACUGAUCCUCUGUCAUUGCCAUAUAACAUGUCUGGCACCGCGACGUAAUGUAGUUACAAACAUCUUCAUACUACACCAAUUAUAGUUAACUCUUCAUAUCUUUGUACCCUUUGGUGUUCCCGCUGCGUAGAGAAACACGAGUGAUAUGUUUGUUGUAAGAUUCCUUUUCUUAACAACUUAUCGUCCAACACACAAACUCGGUUUCGGUACAAGUAUAUCCUGCUCAGAGUUGUAUGAUAUCCAAUACUCCCAAUCUCGAUCUGUUCAACCAAUCCAGAAUGCUAACUUGUGCUUGUGUAUCCUCCAAAGCAAAUCUGUCUGCUCCAAAUUCCCAAGGACAUCUGUCUCUCCAUUGAUAGUAAUGGCACCCAACCUGAGACUAGCAAAUCUCCAACUCAUGAACCUUCUUGGUUCCUGAGAUACAGCUCAUACGCCUACCCAAGGCAUUUAUCACCUGGUUGUCCUUAUCAGGUAGUAUGCGAUAUCCAAACUAUAGUCUGCUACAAACUCAAUCCAACUGCACUGCCCAAGUGCAAUUUUUAAUCAGUGAAGAUAAAUAUCAUACUCUAAUGAUCCCAUAGAAUCUGGACUUCCUUCCCGUACAAUCACGAUCUCCAAAACUAUAACGCAAAUACCACUACAGCCUCUCUGGCGUGAUGCAUAUGAAUGACUUAAUCCUCAUACCUCAAUUUAAAUCCAAUCCAGUAUCUGACACAUCACAGUAAGCCUCAGCCUCAGUAGAACCCAAAACUGGUGUCUUCAUUAGUUGUGCUUCAAUUCAGUGAAACUCCUCGAACAAAAUCUAUCCAACCACACUUAACGUCUUUACAUGUAGACCGCGUCUUUAACAUUACUAUUACGAUGAAACCCUUGAUGAACUUCCAGUAGUAAACUAUCAACCCAAAAAGAACGGCUGAUCUUUGUAGCGCUCUUAGGUUCCGACCUUCCCGAAACGGUAUUAAUCUUCUUUGGAUCCAUCAAAAUUCUGCUUCCAAAACCAUGUUACCCAAAAAUACAACAUUCCUCUGCCAAAAGCUACACUUCCUCAACUUAGCGAACAACUGAUGCUCUCCAGGCUUAUCCAACGCAAUCCGCUAAAUGCUCACAAAUCUCCUUUCUAUUCCAAAAUAAUCAGGAUGUCGUUGGUGAAUACAAUCGCACACCUAUCCAAAUGUUCACGAAAACGUCAUUCAUAUCUUCAUGAAUGCAACAGUGCCUUUGUCGACCCAAAUGGUAUCACUACGAACUCGUAAUAUCCAUAACGGAAAUCUGCAUUCCGUACAUACUCCUCAGCUAUAGCAAUCUGAUGGUUUCUUUGAUGCCAAGACAAACUUCGAGAACGAUGAACCUCCAUUAAGCUCUUCUAACAACUCGUCAAUACGAUGGUUACCAUGUUCAAGUUUAUGUAGUCAAUAUAAAAUCUGAAACUCCCACCUUUCUUAUUUACAACAACAAUGAUGCUCCCCAUGGGGAAGAACUCGAUCUGAUAAAUCCCUUAUCAAAGAGUUCCUCCAAUCGCUUUCUCAACUCAGUCAUCCAUGCUGGUGAUAGACGAUAAGAAACUCGUGAAACCAGUGCUGUUUGCUCCAAAAUAAAAUAAAAUUGCAAGAGCGUCUCAUGUGUCUUGUGGUGGCCUUUCCAAAGGUCACAAAUAUAUCCUCAUACUCUGCAAUAACCGGAAGAUCCUGCAGCCCAUGCUGUCCAUCAUCCUUAACCAUUGAAAUGGUAGCCAAAAAUCUCUCUGUUCUUAUAUCCCAUAACUCCUCAGUAUGUAGCAUGCAUGCACUAACAACUUCCAUCUGCUCCAGCAAUCGAAACUCUUGCCCUCAGGCAAUCCAACACUACUUGAUGCCGUGACAGUCAAUCCAUCCCAAGGAUAACAUCGUCAAAACGUAGCUCCAUCUCUGAUGAAUAUCCGAACAAAUCGGCCCUCCAAGCAUAACUGGUACACUGCGAUGGAUAUAAAUAGCUCCCAAUGUCCUAUGUCAGUUGUCCAAACUGACACAUUUCUGAAACGAUCAACACUGCCAAAAUUGGUAAACAUACCAAAGUGUAACUCCAACACCCACACAACGCAAGCUGCUGCACCCCAAUUCAAAAGCGAUCUCCACGAGUUCACAAAACAAAUAUAUCUCCAAAAUAGUCAAUAUACUCGUACACACAACAACACAUGCCAACCAAUGGCUCAUACCACACACCACAUAGUCUCCAGUAACAAAACUCGUGGAACGAUUGCUUGAAGUGGGCUGGUGGCAGAAACGUCACAUAUCCACUCCUGGAUAGCCUCGAAAUCAUGACCGAAGAACUGAUAACUCCCGAGAAAACUGACGAACUUGGACUUCACGCAACUGCUGAACAUCUGUCGAGAACCUUGUUAGUCGAAGGACGAAUGACGAUGAUUUUUACUCAUCGUCAUUGAAAGAGACAAUUGAGUUAGUAAUUACUGGACAUAAUGGUGCUAAAAGAAUUUCCAAAUAUAUAAAUAAAUAUAUAUUUUUUAAAACAAAAAGAACUUUGAAAACCGAUGAAAACCGAAUCCCCUGACCGCCAUCCCGGGACGGAACCGGGAUGGAACCCGCUCUGAUACCAAAUUGUGACACCCGUCACCUCCUAUAUGGAGGACAGCGUGUCACCCCCGACGCGUCAUCAUACAACAAUGUGACACCCGUCUCCCUGACACUAAGGACGACGGGCCACCAACAAUAUCCCGUAAUAUAAAAGCCCAUAAACCCGACAACUCUCAUCCAUGCCCAAAUAAAAUCCGAAAGAAAAGUCCAAUAGCACCAAGUCCGUCCAAAUAUCACAUACUUGUUUGUCUCACCUGAAAGGGGGAAGAGUGAGGGGUGAGCGACAGGGGAAUCGCUCAGUGAGGUAUGGGAUGCUACCCCGAAGUCCAUGGACCCGGACAUAGCACUCCGAAUAAAUAUAAUUUAAUUCUAAUGCAUGUCAAACACAGUACCUAAAGUACUCAAGCAACAAACAAUGGUCCUAGCGAGGUGCGCACUCGCCGCCCACUAACAGGCCAAAACACUACCGAAAAGGUGCUCGGUUCAUACACACACCGAAAAAGUGCUCGGUAACACACGCCCGUAGACGAUUUAUCGACACUUCCAGUCUACGGCUCAACCGGUCGACUAAAGUUGGCCGUGACCUCCAUACAAUCCGGCAUACAGCAGUCCGACUCUGUAUCCGUCUCCAAACAAAAACAAUCCUAGCUAAGAAUUUACAUUAAGUGAAACAAUCAAUGUUGAAUCCUCUAACCCCCUAGUUCCGGUUUAUGCAAAGAACCUAAAACUAAACAAACAAUGACAGACUCGAUUUCACACAGACGGAACACAUUAGAAAUAAAUUAUACUUAUUCGAGGUCCUAAGCCGAAUAAGAGGAGUUUGGGAAUAGACCCUCACCUUAGCAAUAGAAAAGUGUUGUCUAUGAACUCCAGCUGCUCAAAUAGACUCCAUAUCUGAAAUCAGAUCGAAAUUCUGAGUCAGAACGCCUUUCGAACGGUCGAAAACGGAACUGGUCAAGGUUUUCGGAAAAGUCAACCCGCUGGUCAAAGUCAACCCGGUCAAAGUCAAACCAGAAAUCGAUUUGACUAAACCGACCGGUUUACCCUAACCGAACCGAAAUCAAUUUAAACCGGCUAACCGAUCGGUUAACCGAGUCAACCGAGUUGACUCCCUGAGUUGACUCGGCCGAGUUGACCGAGUCGCCGGCGAGUCACCGGUGUCGGUCACCGGCGGCGACGGCGGUAUUCCGGCGGCGGUUGUCGGCGGCGACGGCGGUAUUCCGGCGGCGGGGGACGGUGGUCCGGCGGUGGCGACGUUUUCCGGCGGCGGCGCGUGUACUUCACGCGCGCGCAGAGGCGAAACUUCCGGAGGCGCGUGAGGCUUCGUCCGGGCUCCGAUUGAGGCGUGGUUGGUGUCUACGGCUUCGUCUCGACGAGAGGAACACGAUGGUGGUCUUGAAUGCACGAGAUGAUCAAUAGUUAGGAAGUUAUGGGCGAUUUACUAAACGGAAACGAAACUGAGCUUAAGGAAUGCGGUUUCCGGCGAUUACCUAGGGUGUUUAUCGGUGGUGGCAAGCUGAACGUGGUCAUGGCGCACGGUUGCUACGGCGACGAGUUCAAGUGAGCUUUCUCCCUUCUUCUCCUUCUUCUCUCUCUCUUUCUCUCUCUCUCUCUCUCUUUCUCAAGCUUUAAAGAAGAUGGAGAUGGUGGGGAAGAAGGUGGAGAUGGUGGAGAAGAAGGUGGAAGUGGUGGGGUUGGAGAAAGAAGUGGAGAUGGUGGGAGUGGUGGGUCAUUACAAUUCUCCCCCACUUAUAAGGAAUUCGUCCCCGAAUUCAAGUCAUAAGCUGACAUGCCCAAUGUUAUCAUAGCAGAACCGCCAAAACCUCGAAUACUAAUCCUCGCUCGGCCUUUCAGGUCUCCUCCUGAGUCUUAUCUCCCUCCCAACGAACUCGGACAAGCACGGUCGACAUUCUCCGAACUGUUUUCUCUUGAUGAUCCAAAAUCUUCAAUAGAUGAUAAGGUCCAUAAAAUCUUUAUGAACUCACUUGAUGUCAACUGCAAAAUAAUUAUAGCGCCUUCUCAACUUUUGCAAUACUGUCAUAUGAACUAAGUCCUAGAAGGCUGCUGUCAUAUGAACCAAGUCCUAGAAGGCUGAUAUACUGCUGAUAAAGUAACUGCAAGCAACUAAUCCAAUCCACUCCAGUGCAGGAUACAAUUCCAUGUGUCUCGGUUUAAGCUCCUAUAUCUUCUGAGUCUUAGGCUCCUCCUAAAAUGUCCUUAAUUUCAGGUAUAUUAGGUGUCCAUAUGUAGCUCCAAAUCCUUACGGCGCUUAGCUGCAUAAAUCUUUUGACGUCAUGGGCUUCCGAAAGCCAAUCCUUGAGUAUGUCCUUUGCUCUACUGUCUCUUGAACCAUUAAUAGUUCUAACUCAUAUUGCUCCCCCACUUUGGUCCAACAAAGUGGUAUACUAUAAGGUCUACCAUAAAUAAUCCUCAUAUAAAUUUUUUUUUUUUUUAAUACUCAAAAGAUAGCUGUCGAUAUAGGCAAACUCUGGUAUAGGUAGAUGCUUUCUGAAAUUCCAUCCCACGCAAUCUCUGAACAUAUCCUUUAAGUUAUGAGUAGUCCUCUCUGACUGACAAUAUGUCAACGGGUGAUAAGAUGUA